UCAGUCUUACCGGUGGAUCACUCGGUUCGUGGAUCGAUGAAGAACGCAGCAAACUGCGAUAAGUAACGUGAAUUGCAGACGCUUUGAACGUUAAACUUUCGAACGCACAUUGCGCCGUAGGAGUCCCACCCUACGGCACAUCUGGUUGAGGGUCGUG
rnacentral:rRNA from 1 species